AGAGAUUUAGCUCAGUGGUACAAGCACCUGCUUGGCAAGCAUGAGAUUGUGAAUUCAAUUCCCAGUAUCAA
rnacentral:tRNA from 1 species